AAGCUUCAGGAAACUGGAGUGUGCCUCUUGAGGACCCCCGGUGACAGGGUGCUGCAUGGCUGUCGUCAGCUCGUGUCGUGAGAUGUUGGGUUAAGUCCCGCAACGAGCGCAACCCUUGUCUUUAGUUGCCAUCAUUAAGUUGGGCACUCUAAAGAGACUGCCGGUGUCAAACCGGAGGAAGGUGGGGAUGACGUCAAGUCCUCAUGGCCUUUAUGACCAGGGCUACACACGUACUACAAUGGCAUAGACAAAGGGCAGCGACAUCGCGAGGUGAAGCGAAUCCCAUAAACUAUGUCUCAGUCCGGAUUGGAGUCUGCAACUCGACUCCAUGAAGUUGGAAUCGCUAGUAAUCGUAGAUCAGCAUGCUACGGUGAAUACGUUCCCGGCCCUUGUACACACCGCCCGUCACACCACGGGAGUUGGUUGUACCAGAAGCAGUUGAGCAAACUUUUCGGAGAUGCAGGCUGCCAAGGUAUGAUUGGUAACUGGGGUGAAGUCGUAACAAGGUA
rnacentral:rRNA from 1 species